rnacentral:lncRNA from 1 species
CUGCCAUGUUCCUCCACAGCCCGAUAAUAAAGACCGGUUGCAUUGUCUUCAUCUAGAAAUAAUUUACUGUAUUUCUAUUCAGAUUACGUUGUACUCUCCAGCAUGAUUUUCUGCAUUCUUCUUUGGAUGAUAAUUGUUUGAGGACUUUCUCAUGUGAAAAGGAGAUUUAGCAUAGCAGGCCUGAGGCUGCUGUCCUAAAAACAACGUUCAUGGAAGGAAGAUGGAAAACCUGGCUUUCGGGGAGGGUUCUUACCAUUCCCAGAACUGACGUCCUACCUGUUCCUGGAUGCCUGGGUCAACUGCCUCAUUAUCAGUGGAAAGCAGAGUGUGGGUGGGAAAGAAGAGCUCUGAAAUCACUCGGACCUGACCCUGACCCCUGCUGCACUCCUGCUCUGUGCCUGAGAUGGUUCUAUUUCCUGUUAUCCUCUCAACACGUCUGCAGAGAAUGGACUGUUAUUCCUAUCUUACACAGGUGGAACUUGGGGCUCAGAAAAUGAAACAACUUUUCCACACUCCCAGGGUUGGGAAGCGGAGGUUCCUUAACUGAAACCUAUCUCUGUCUGCCUUGAAACCAAGUUUGCAGGUCUUAGUUGUUGAAGACAAAUGGAGGUACCUCACUUUUUGCAAUUAAGACCCCUUGUAUCUUUUUAAAUCCAUGCCCUGAGUUAACUUUGGCUCUUCCCUGUUCCUCACCUGCCAUAUCUGUCCUCUCUAUUCCACAGUUAUCUUCUUCCCUUUAUCCCUCCAGACUUGGCGUUAUCAAUAGGAAUAGUGAAAUAAGAGCUUUCAUCUACCUAUUGAUUAAAAGCCAGAUGGAGGUAGCAUCACAUGCUGAUUACAUAGCUUACUUACUGUUCAACCUCGGGCAAGUAGACUAUUUCAAUCCUCUUAAGCCUUAGAUUUUGUAUCUGUACUUUGGGUAAUGAAACUUACCUCACAGGGUUUUCAUAAGCAUUGACUGAAAUAAUAUAUGCAAAGUACUUAGCACAGGAACUGGUCAAUCAAUAUGGUCAGUACUGUUAAGCUCCAGGAUUUGAGCCUAUUCCCCAAACAUUACCAGUCAAUGGUACUGUUAGCCCCAUUUUACAGAUAAAGGAAUUGAAAUGCAGGGAGGCUAAGCCACAUGUUCAGUAGGAAGUAGGUGAUGGGGCAGAAAUACAAAGCUAGGCCCAAGGGGCUGUGCAGCCUCUGCUUUUCCCAUUAUAAGUCUCCUUGCUGGGUUUCUGAAGUAGUUUUGCAAAAGACCCAGCUCCUCUCCCUACUUUGCAAGAGCAUCUUGCUACAGUGUAAACCUAAUCUUACCAUCUGCUUGCUCUGUGGGCAUUGCUUGGCCUAAGGACUAAGUGAGUUACUUGGUUGAGUUGAUGCAAACUGAACUCUAAAUCUGGAACAAUGAUACUGUGUUGCACGUUUGUGUGGGGGGCAGGAGUGGGAGUGUAUAUGUCUGUGUAUAUGUCUGGAUGUACCCACCAGCAUUUACACAGAGAUACUUAGUCACACUGAAAAUAAAAAGAAACAUUUGCAAAGAUCAGAAAUCAAGUAAAAACGUACCGCUUGCCAUGCAAACCUACUGGACGCUGGGUCAGGAGCACACCUGUGCAGCCAAGUAGGGGCUUAGAAUAAGAGGGACUCGAGAUCUGAGCAUGACAAUCGGUAAUCCAGGCUCACUUUAGGGGCUGAACUUGUCCUUUAAAAGGCAGCAGAUAAACAUGGUGUCAAGGUUCAAGGCUGUGGAUGUUCUGCUCUCCCAAGGGAACAGAAGUAAGCAGAGGCGGCCCAAGACAAGAACUGGGAAAAACACAUCUUGACUCAAGGGCUAGAUCAGGAGCAUCCUUGUGAGAUGAGAAUCCAGCUGACAAUGUGGAACAUAGUUUUAAACUGGGGACUUAGAAGACUGCAUAUAAGGAAUGAUACUAAGAAUCAAAAAAAAAAAAAAAAAACAAAAAAAAAAAAAAAAACAAACAACUGCUGGAGAUGUCAUUGCAACCCAAAUUUAUAAAAUUGUAAAAAGAAAAAAAAAUGAAUGAAUAUUUGUUUGGAAGUGCGAUAAGAGGACCACAAAGGAAAAAUUCAACUAAAAUUCCGGAACUUUAUAUAAUAAUAAUAAUAAUAAAACAGAGAAAAAAUUAGGGCCAGCUGGGUAAGGAACCAAAGCCUUUACAAAUUCGGGGGGGGGGGGUCGGGAAUUAAACAUGGAUAAAAUUAAAUGGCAAUAGGACAACUCUAAGCUGGACAUGGUGUGUGUGUGUGUGUGUGUGUGUGUGUGUGAGAGAGAGAGAGAGAGAGAGAGAGCGCGCACUCAGAACUGGAAGAUAAGUGUGACAAACUCCCCCAGAAUAUGUGCAAGGGGACAAUUGUGACAGAUAUAAAAGAGAUUUUACGAGAUGUUGGGGACAGAUUGUGGUGUUCUAACAUGCCUCUCGUAUUUUUCCCCAGAACUAGAAAAUAGGUGGAGUGUCAAAUGUAGCAAUAUUCUAAGAGAACUUUUCAUUAUUUAAGACAGACAUGUUAAGUAAAAUAAAUUCACAUCUAGUAACAUUGUAGUAAAACUUCAAGACACCAAAGAUAAAAGCAGGCUCUUAAAAGUUACUAGACCAAGAAAUAAGUAUUACAUACAAAGAAAGAAUUCUACUGAUAGGAAACUUAAAAUAUAGGACUGUAGAAACUAGAUUACCAUCUUCAGAAUGUGGAGAAGAAAUAAAUAUCAACCUGGA